UCACUUCACUGAUCUCAGAGAGGUAAUGCCCCUAUAUAUUUUUGUUCUGCUUCAAUCAUCCGAUGAUUAUCUGUUGGUUUCCUUGUUUCGUUUGUGUUCUGGCUCCUAGUUAAGUUUUAUAUUUUUCCUUGAUCGAAUCUUGGCGUUUCGGUAUUUUCGGACUGUUUAUAGGCUGUGUGGUGUGUUGUUUUGGGUCGACAUGGACAUUGUUUCCAUUGGUGUAUCUAGUCGCAGAGAGGCAUAUUAGAUUUAUUUGUCGUCUUGCUCGUAGGAUAGUUUUGUCCCUUGUUUAGUUUGUUACUGCUGUAUUAAAAUUUUUCUGGUUUGAAUGAGGUCAGCCAGUCGGUUGUCGCUCCAAGUGAUUUACUCAUGUGAUAUGUUCGUCUUCGAAAAUCCAUGAACACAGAAGAUGGUGUGUGAGUUUGCUUUGUGCUAUCUGUGGGAUUGUAUUUUAUCCUUCCUUUGGGUUCGUUUGCGAAGCCGCGUCAAGUUUGUCUCUUGGUAUUUUGGAGUCGGUUAUAUGAAAAUGCGAUUCAAGUGAAUACGUGUGGGCUUUGUAUAUUUAGAAACUGUCUUUUAGUUUCG
rnacentral:misc_RNA from 1 species